rnacentral:rRNA from 1 species
GGAAUGGAGCGUCAUAGAGGGUGAGAAUCCCGUCUUUGGCACGGACUCCCAGGGCUUCUGUGAUGCGCUCUCGACGAGUCGAGUUGUUUGGGAAUGCAGCUCAAAAUGGGUGGUGAACUCCAUCUAAAGCUAAAUACUGGCGAGAGACCGAUAGCGAACAAGUACCGUGAGGGAAAGAUGAAAAGCACUUUGGAAAGAGAGUGAAACAGUACGUGAAAUUGUUGAAAGGGAAACGCUUGAAGUCAGUCGCGUCGACCGAGACUCAGCCUUGCCUCGGCUUGGUGUACUUCUCGGCUGACGGGUCAGCAUCAAUUUCGAUCCUUGGAUAAUGGCAAGGGAAAGGUGGCACCUUCUUAGGUGUGUUAUAGUCCUCUGUCGCAUGCGAGGGUCGGGAUUGAGGAACUCAGCAUGCACCUUCGGGUGUCGGGGCAUCUGCCCACGUUUACGUGCUUAGGAUGCUGGCGUAAUGGCUUUAAACGACCCGUCUUGAAACACGGACCAAGGAGUCUAACAUACCCGCGAGUGUUCGGGUGGAAAACCCGUGCGCGCAAUGAAAGUAAAAGUUGGGACCUCUGUCGUGGAGGGCACCGACGCCCGGACCAGACCUUCUGUGACGGCUCUGCGGUAGAGCGUGUAUGUUGGGACCCGAAAGAUGGUGAACUAUGCCUGAA